CAGUCGUAACAAGGUCUCCGUAGGUAAGUAAAUACUAUCAGCGGCAACCGUUUCAGUUACAAGACACGUAUACUAACUCUUGUUCAGGUGAACCUGCGGAGGGAUCAUUACUGAGUGAGGGCGUCAACGCCCGACCUCCAACCCUUUGUGAACCAACCUCUGUUGCCUCGGGGGCGACCCGGCCCUUUGGGUGUCGGGGCCCUCGGUGGACCACACUUCAACUCUGCGUCUUUGCGUCUGAGUCUAAUGAUAAAUCAUCAAA
rnacentral:misc_RNA from 1 species